rnacentral:rRNA from 1 species
GACGAACGCUGGCGGCGCGCCUAACACAUGCAAGUCGAACGAGAGAUGAGGAGCUUGCUCUUCAAAUCGAGUGGCGAACGGGUGAGUAACGCGUGAGGAACCUGCCUCAAAGAGGGGGACAACAGUUGGAAACGACUGCUAAUACCGCAUAAGCCCACGGCUCGGCAUCGAGCAGAGGGAAAAGGAGCAAUCCGCUUUGAGAUGGCCUCGCGUCCGAUUAGCUAGUUGGUGAGGUAACGGCCCACCAAGGCGACGAUCGGUAGCCGGACUGAGAGGUUGAACGGCCACAUUGGGACUGAGACACGGCCCAGACUCCUACGGGAGGCAGCAGUGGGGAAUAUUGCACAAUGGGGGAAACCCUGAUGCAGCGACGCCGCGUGGAGGAAGAAGGUCUUCGGAUUGUAAACUCCUGUUGUUGAGGAAGAUAAUGACGGUACUCAACAAG